rnacentral:lncRNA from 1 species
UUCUAAAUAGCAAUCGAGGCUAUUACAUCAUGGGAAACAUACAACGGUGGUAUAUAAAAGAGGGAUGAACAGUAGCAGAAUCAAGUAUCUUUUUUGUUCUAUAGGGAUAGCAAUAGGGACAAGGACACUGAGGAUAGACGAAUUUAAAGCUCACACUAGUGUGUACUAAAAAUCCACAUCAAUCACAUACUUCUUUGUGCAGAUUUUGUAAUGUAUGAAAACUUUCUACUAUGAUUAGGGAAGUAAUGGAAGUUCAAUACAUAACAAUUAGUUUACACAUGAAUUCUCAGAAUGAAAAUACACACAGACAAUACAGUUCUGGUGGUUUUACAAACAGGCAUAAUUUAUGAACCCCGAAUGUAGAAUAAAGAAAGCCUAAAUUAAAAAAAGAAAAAAUAGAGAGCAAUUCGACUAUAAUAAUGGACAAGACAAAGGUAACCAUCUUCUUUCAAGAUUAUGAAAUCUACACUACCGAGCUUAUAAAUCUAGAUAAUCCCCAUGUUUGCACUAUAUUUCUAACAAUAAAUUACACCCACAGUUUAAUGCUCUACCCCUUUUGCACUUCUAACUUCAAAAUUUUAUACUUGGUUUUUUAAGUAGUUCUAUUCUUUUUCAUAGCUUGCUUACUAAAAACCCCGUCAAACUAUUCAAAAAAAUAGUCUUCUUCUCACACCCCUACCCCAUCUACAAUGUGUGCUCCAAGAAUCACACAAGAAUGAACAAGAAACAAAAAAUAAAAAUAAAAAAUCAUAGCAUAAUAAUAAUAAUAAUAAUAAUAAUAAUAAUAAUAAAUUGACAUUUAUAAUAAUUAGUUAAUCCAAAGAUUCAAAACCCUCAGAAAAUAAGAAACCCAUAAAAUGAAGUAAACCAUUUCAAAACCCCAUUCAAACUAUUCAUAAUGAAGUAAAUCAAAGAUUUGCAAGCUCGAGGAAAAACAAAGUGGGUCUUCACAUAACCAUUAACUUACCUAUUUCAAUAAAAAUUGGUGCAUUUCUUCUGAGAUCUCAGCUAAGAAAGCUAUGAUACCUGAGAAAACUAUCUAGCCCCACAAUAAAUCAAGUGAGAAGAAGGUAAGGUUUUUCCCUCUUCUAUGAGCCUAAGCUAAGCUCAUCUUAAGAAGAUGCAGGAAAUAUAAGAUUUUUACGAGUCUAAAGUUAGAAUUUUCCCUGCAAUGUGAGAGGAGAAAGAGGGGGAAAAUAUGGUACAGAACAAGAGUCAAGCGUGGAAUGAAGAAAAAAGAACAAAAGAGGAAGAAAAUACAAUACUGCUCAUCAAAGAGAGAGGGAAGGGGAAAAAAUCCAAAAUUUACAAAUCAACAUGUGGGAAAAAGUUAGAGAAACAUUGCUCGAGUUUAGGAUUAAGUGAGGAUUAACAUCCCCAAACAAAUAAUUACAAAAAAAAAUCCCUCAAGAUUGAGUCCCUGGCGAAGAUAUAUGUUGUGGUGCUUUAACUCGUGGACCCUAAGCAUCAGCAACCGUGGUAUUCUCAUUUUUAUGGACCUCAACGAGGAAGCGCUGCAGCAGAACUAAAAGCAUACUUUGUAAUUCAGCUUUGACAUCUCAUGAAACUUUUGAGAAGAUUUUUGAAAAGCCUUGGAGAGGGAGGAACGGAUAGGUUGAGUGGAAAAAGAAAGACCUGAGCAAGAGAGUUGGAAAGAGAGAGUGUAGAAAAAAAGAGAGAGAGAAAGGAAAAGUAAGGGGAAGACGGUAGAAGUCUCUUUGCAUAUAUCUGAAGCAAACAGUAAAAACCAAAGGAAAAACCGGAUGAAUACGCUAGAAUGAAGUCCCUAUUUUAUUGUAUAGGGAUAUAUAUAAUGAACGCUCCCAACAAAAAACAUAAAUAUGCACCCAAGAAAUAGAGAAAUUGAAAAUACAUAUCAAUCUGAAACUUAAGAAAGUACCCAGAAGAAAGAAUUGAACACAAAAAUGACAGUCUACACAUAGGAAGCUCAAAAUUCAUGGAUCAAUCUAAGAGAAAGGAAAAGCACAUUCUUCUGCUACGAAAAAAAACAUAGAAGAAGAAAGAACCUUUUGCCAUUGCAAAACUAAAGGGAACAUAAGAGUAAAAAGAUAGACUUGAACGACAACAACAAUAUACCUACUCUUUUAAUAAAACCUAGAUCAAUGUGGAAAUAUCGCACAUGCUAAAGCUCCAAAAAAAGAAAAAAAAUCCAAAAGUAAUAGAUUCAAGAAAUUAGGAGAGGGAAAAAUGACUCCAAAAUAGAAAGAUUACAUCUCUAGUGAAAAUAAAUACCAUAUCUUAAUGAAUAAAUAGUGAAAAUACCAUACAUAGACAUAUGUAGCAAAAAUUGGUCGUUGAAAAUGGACAAAAAUGAAUUAAGAAAAAUAAACACUCACUAUAAUAGCAUUAAAUAAAGUUUUACAGCCAUCCCUCAAUUAUGGUGAGCUUUAGCUCCUUAUUUUUCCUACUUUCUUCAAUAACCUCAUAGACAAUUAAUAAGUUUAAAUAAACUGAUGGAAAGAGAAAACAACAGAAAAGUCAGAAGAAGAAAUAUUAAUCUCGCAAAAACCAAAAGUAGGGCACAUCUAGAACAAACUACACAAAAACAAAUGACUUUCUCCAUUGUAAAACUAAAGGGAACACAAAAGUACGAAAAUAGACUUAAACGGCAACAACAGUUUAUCUAUUCUUGCUACAACCCAGAAUGUAGAUUAGUAAAGCAAGAUCCCAAAUGCUAGAACCCCCACUAAAAGAAAUAAAAAAAAAUUAAAAAAACAACCGAAAGGUACAGAGAUUCAACAAAUUAUUAAAGUGAAAAAUAACUUAAGAACAAAAAAUUAUCUCUCUAGUAUGAAGAUAAAAACCAACAACGGAAAAAGAUUUCACGGGCGAGAACUGAUCAAAAAUUGAAUGAUCCUUCGAGCAACAUCUAACAUGCGCCUAAAAAAAUAUCAAAUCCCAGAAAGCAUCCAAACUAAAAUACAGAAACAAAAAAUAUGAACCUUUCUCUGCUACACGAAGAAAAAAAACAUAGAGCACCAAAAGAGAUUUAAACUAUCUAAAUUUUUUUUUACCUACUCACCCUACAAACUGGAAAUGAAGACCAGCAAGCAAGAUCCCGCUGUCUGCAGGAAAAAAAUAGAAGAUUUGAUAUAUGAAAAAAAAAGGGGGGGUGGGGAAAUAACCAAAAAAAAAAAAAAUUCAUAAAAGUACCUCUCUUCGGUGGAAAGAUGAAAACUAUCAACAAAUUAAGAUUCCACAUGUGAUAAUCGAUAGAAACUUGAAAGAAAUAAGAUCUAAGACAUUGCACAAUUGGAAAGAAGAAAAACUGUAUAG